rnacentral:sRNA from 1 species
CAGAAAAUGUUUUGUCAGGAACCUUAACUCUGCCUUGCUCUAGUAACGUCCUAUGUGGCCAACCAGUACACCAGCCUGUGAGUCUACGUAUUAUAGGAGGCGGUGAGGCUCCUGUAGGCGCAUGGCCUUGGGUAGUUUUGUUGACUGAAUUAGGCUACGUCUCUUGUGGUGGAGCUAUUCUAAACAACAGAUUUAUUUUAACAGCUACGCACUGUUUCCUUGGAAAAAGCUACGAUCCAAAAAGAUGGCAAGUCAUGGCAGGGAAACAUAAUUUAAAUCGACAUGAUCCUGGUGAACAAACUGUUAAUGUAAUUGUGCUACUCUCUUGUUAUGCUCUUAUAGAUACAUACGAAUAUAUAACAACCAAGCCCCUUAAAUUUCACAAAAACGGUUUUUUUUAAUUCUCAGUUUCAUCCCAACCAAACAGAGCUCAAGGAAUUAGUGAACUCUUUUCAAAAACCCAUCACCCCAACAACCAAUGGGUCAGAUUCUAAACAGAUGGAUCCUCCCAAAAAUAAAUACAUUUGGAGGAGCUGGCAAACUAA